GAUGAACGCUGGCGGCGUGCCUAAUACAUGCAAGUCGAGCGAACGGACGAGAAGCUUGCUUCUCUGAUGUUAGCGGCGGACGGGUGAGUAACACGUGGAUAACCUACCUAUAAGACUGGGAUAACUUCGGGAAACCGGAGCUAAUACCGGAUGAUAUUUUGAACCGCAUGGUUCAAAAGUGAAAGACGGUCUUGCUGUCACUUAUAGAUGGAUCCCGGCUGCAUUAGCUAGUUGGUAAGGUAACGGCUUACCAAGGCAACGAUGCAUAGCCGACCUGAGAGGGUGAUCGGCGACACUGGAGCUGAGACACGGUCCAGACUCCUACGGGAGGCAGCAGUAGGGUAUCUUCCGCAAUGGGCGAAAGCCUGACGGAGCAACGCCGCGUGAGUGAUGAAGGUCUUCGGAUCGUAAAACUCUGUUAUUAGGGAAGAACAUAUGUGUAAGUAACUGUGCACAUCUUGACGGUACCUAAUCAGAAAGCCACGGCUAACUACGUG
rnacentral:rRNA from 1 species